CGGGCCCAAAGUCACCAAGUGGGCUUCAUGCGUGAAUAGGGAUUUGUGUUCUGGCCUCCCAGGUCCUAAUCCAGCACUCUAACCACUACGCCACACUGAUUGAGCAUAGUGGGGGGGGGGCAAGUACCAUCUAAAAAUUACUUUAUAAAAGUUUUAUUUUGAAGUGAUUCUGCACAAACUGCAGCUUACAGAUCAAGCACAAGGGAAGCCCCACAUAGAGCUCAUUGCAGUAAUCAAGUCUUGAAGUAAUCAAUUGUAAGGGAAACCUAUGCCAGGAAAAAUUUGUAUUUAGAGGAGAUAGGUCAAUUGGUUUAUACAAUUCUUCCUCAUUGCUUAGGGAGAAAUGCGACUCAUCAACCUGGGAAAGUUGCCAAUCUAGGAGAAGGAAAAUCUGAUCUGAAACCUCUGAUGCCUUUUGGGAUGUUUUCAAGAGAGAGAGAAAGGCUGGGGAGUAAACACUACAUGGAGUGGAGUCACCAAGACAGUUGGAUGGCCUCUUGUAUGCCUCCGUCCAACAACUAUUGCAGACAGGCUGCUGCCAAAUGUAUUGUUCUGCUUUCCUUUGGACCACAUCAGUGAGACUGAUGUCCAGACAGCCCAGGACCUUCCUACGCACUGCCCAGGCUUGAGCCCCAGGGAGGUCACUUCAAUGUUGCUAACACAGUGUUUUGGCUUCACCCCUGGAGGCACGCUUCAUUGUCUCUUGGGACAAAUGAAUGCCAACCACCUCACUGCUUAUUGGUACAAUCUCUUUGGGACUGUCGGUGGUUUUUUGUUUGCUUUAUCGUUUUGAUGUACUGUUUGUUCUCUAAUAAGUAGCAGCAGGGUUUGGGAAGAUCCACAUGGCCCGGCUGGAGGCUGAGUGCCUGCCAGUAGUAGUGCAACUGCAGAGUUAAUUAAGUAUGCUGGCCCCUGUAUUUUGGACUAGCUUAACAGGUGGGAGGAAUUUAGAUAUUAGGCCAGCCAGCUACGGCAGCUACGGGUUCAAAUUAUAUAAAUCUCUCACAUGGGGUCAGACUUUGGAGCUUCAGUGUAGACGCUGACCAGGAGGGUGUCAUCUUCCUUUCUUCUUCAUUCUUAAUAAACUACCGUACAUAAAGUUUGGCUUUGGGAUCUUGCAUAUAUUGUUGCAGACUUGCAGGAUUAAUGUAAAAUCUCUCAUGAACAUAAGUCACUUGGUUCAUGCUACAGAAGGGGAUGCCAAAGAAAUGCAGGUUGCUCAGAUCCAGAGAGCUGGUUGUUUAUAAGCGGAGAGCAAUGUUGAUGAAGUUUUGUUUUGCCCUGGAGAAAGUUAAGUAUACUAGAUGCUAUCUCAGGGUCCCUGGUUAAAUAUUUGCUUAGGGUCCAAAAAUCUAUCUUUCUCAGAGGGCGCUGUAGGGGUCCAGCAUUACUGGACAGUCUUUUUAGUGUAACUGGCCUACUGUGCAAGGCACUUUUGUGUUAAAAAAAAGGCUUAAGAGGUUUCUACUUGCCUCCCCUUCCAUUACAGGGAUUUCCCACCCACCCAGUUAUGCUGACCUACCUGGAGUAGCUGUGACCUUUUGCAUGCAAAACAAGUGUUUUCUCACUGAGCUACAACCCCCCCUGAGUAAACUGCCUUGGGUAGUUUUUUGUGGGAAAGUGAUAUAUAUUUAGAACCAAUACAAUCACAGCGGAGGAAGUGACCUUUUGAAAUAACACUGAGGAGAGGACCUUCAGUUCCAGCAGCUUAAUUUUGAAGCCUUUCAUGCAUGGUAGCUGUGGGCAUUGGUCUCCAAAGAAAAUAAAUUUUCUCCCAUACUAUUUCCACUGCUGAGCACCAGGGGGCGCCAGGCACAUGCUCCAGAACUCAUACUUUUUUUAGAUACUGAAAUGCCUUCACUUAACAACACACUAAUUCAUUGUGCAUUGCUGUUAUUUCUGCAUCUUUCAGUGGUAAUCUGUGAAAAACAAGAUGGUCUAGAAAGUCAUUGAAAACUGUUUGGCAAGACAGGUACAGGAGCCCUGAGAGAACAAAAUGUUGACAACGCAAGUAGUCAGAAGGGAGUCAGCCCAUAUUCAACUUAUGCAUAUCCAGCUGGCCCUGCCUACCUACCCCAACUGCCCCUGAACCUUCUACUGGGGUUUCUCAUGUCUUCCAGCCACCUCCCACUAGUAACUUCCUCUUUCCUCUCAGCCACUCUGUCCAUUUGUGACAUCACAGGAAGUUUGUAGCCCAUGGCAACUGCUUAGGGGUGCAUCUGCACGGCCUCCCAUCCUGGUACUGGAAAGGGGAAUGUCAUGAACGUUACUUAGAUGCAUUUAGAAAUACCUUGAUUUAGAAGUAAAAGAUGGCUUGCUUAAGCUCUGCUGUUCCCUUCAUUGCUGCUUUCAGGGAAAGCCUCGUCGGCUUGUAGCAUCCAUGAAAGGCAAACACAGAUAUGGUGA